rnacentral:rRNA from 1 species
CCUACGGGCGGCAGCAGUGAGGAAUAUUGGUCAAUGGGCGGGAGCCUGAACCAGCCAAGUCGCGUGAGGGAAGACGGUCCUAUGGAUUGUAAACCUCUUUAGGCGGGGAGCAAUGCCGGGCACGCGUGCCCGGAGGGAGAGUACCCGCAGAAUAAGCAUCGGCUAACUCCGUGCCAGCAGCCGCGGUAAUACGGAGGAUGCGAGUGUUAUCCGGAUUUAGUGGGUUUAAAGGGUGCGUAGGCGGAUUUUUAAGUCAGCGGUAAAAUGUCGGGGCUCAACCCGGGCCGGCCGUUGAAACUGGGGAUCUAGAGUGUGCGAGAGGUAUGCGGAAUGCGUGGUGUAGCGGUGAAAUGCAUAGAUAUCACGCAGAACCCCGAUUGCGAAGGCAGCAUACCGGUGCACAACUGACGCUCAGGCACGAAAGCGUGGGUAUCGAACAGGAUUAGAUACCCUGGUAGUC